AAAAGAAAGCAAGGGCGGACGGUGGAUACCUAGGCUCCAGGAGGCGAGGAAGGACGCAGCAAGCGGCGAAACGCCGCGGGGAGGCGCAAGCAGCCGUUGAUCCGCGGGUGUCCGAAUGGGGCAACCCAUCAGCAAUGAUACCGGCCACCAGUUGGCCGGGGCGAACGCAGGGAACCGAAACAUCCCAGUACCUGCAGGAAGAGAAAACAAAAGUGAUACCCCCAGUAGCGGCGAGCGAACGGGGCAUAGCCCAAACCGCCAGGGUUCAGGCCCGGGCGGGGUAGCGGGACAGCCGUAAUCGGGGACAGAGUGAGGCGAGGGGUCUGGAAAGGCCCGCCGUAGAGCGUGAGAGCCGCGUAGCCGAAGCCGAGUCAACGAGGGCUGUAUCCCAAGUAGUGCGGAACACGAGGAAUUCUGUAUGAAUCAGCCGGGACCAUCCGGUAAGGCUAAACACUCCCUGGAGACCGAUAGCGAACAAGUACCGUGAGGGAAAGGUGAAAAGCACCCCGAACAGGGGGGUGAAAAAGAACUUGAAACCGGCCGCCUACAAGCGGUUGGAGCCCCGAAAGGGGUGACAGCGUGCCUUUUGCAUAAUGAUCCUACGAGUCCCUCCCGUUGGCGAGGUUAAGGAGCGCUAGCUCCGGAGCCGCAGCGAAAGCGAGUCCGAACAGGGCGCGAUAGUCAGGGAGAGGGGACGCGAAACCAAGUGAUCUACCCUUGGCCAGGAUGAAGGCCCGGUAAGACGGGCUGGAGGUCCCAACCGAUAAGCGUUGAAAAGCUUCCGGAUGAGCUGAGGGUAGGAGCGAAAGACCAAUCAAACUUGGAGAUAGCUCGUACUCCCCGAAAUGCCUUUAGGGGCAGCGUCGGGGCAGUCUCAAGGAGGUAGAGCGACUGAUUGGAUGCGAGGGCUUCACCGCCUGUCAAGUCCUGACAAACUCCGAAUGCCUUGAGAUGAUCCCCGGCAGUGAGGGCGCGGGUGCUAAGGUCCACGUCCGAGAGGAGAACAAUCCAGACCGUCAGCUAAGGCCCCGAAAGGGCAGUUAAGUUGGACUAACGAAGUGCGGUCGCAGAGACAGCUAGGAUGUUGGCUCGGAAGCAGCCAUUCAUUCAAAGAGUGCGUAACAGCUCACUAGUCGAGCGACCGUGCAUGGAUAAUAAGCGGGCAUCAAACUGUCUGCCGAAGCUGCGGAUUAAUGGUAGGGGAGCAUUCCGGCUGCAUAGAAGGCCCUCCGCGAGGAGAGCUGGAGCGCCCGGAAAAGCAAAUGUAGGAAUGAGUAACGACAAGGGGGGCGAGAGGCCCCCCCGCCGAAAGACCAAGGGUUCCUGAUCAACGCUAGUCGGAUCAGGGUGAGUCUGGGACUAAGGAUAAGGCGAGAGCCGAAGCCGAUGGCAGAUCCGGUCAAUAUUCCGGAACCUGUCUUGCGGGCGAAGCGGGGACGAAGCGAGCAAGGUGCGGCCCGGUGACGGAUAUCCGGGUUGAAGGCGGAAGGCGUCGAUCGGUACAGGCAAAUCCGUACCGAGAGCCGGAAACCGAGAGUACGCCGACCCUCCGGGGGAGGCGAUAAGCACCGGAAGCGCUUCCAAGAAAAACCGCUAAGCAUAACCGCUGGACAGCCAGUACCGAAAACCGACACAGGUGGUCCGGUAGAGAAUACCAAGGCGUAUGGGAGAUUCACGGUUAAGGAACUAGGCAAAAUAGCCCCGUAACUUCGGGAAAAGGGGCGCCAGCGCGAGCUGGCCGCAGAAAAAUGGCUCAGGCGACUGUUUAACAAAAACACAGGGCUAUGCGAAAACGAGAGUUGAAGUAUAUGGCCUGACACCUGCCCGGUGCUGGAAGGUCAAGGGGAGACGUCACGCGCAAGCGGAAGCGUUGAGCCGAAGCCCCAGUAAACGGCGGCCGUAACUAUAACGGUCCUAAGGUAGCGAAAUUCCUUGUCGGGUAAGUUCCGACCUGCACGAAUGGUGUAACGAUCUGGGCACUGUCUCAGCUGUGAGCUCGGUGAAAUUGUAGUAUCGGUGAAGAUGCCGAUUACCCGCAACGGGACGGAAAGACCCCGUGAACCUUUACUGCAACUUAGCGUUGGAUCUGGGGAAGCGAUGUGUAGGAUAGGCCGGAGGCUUGGAGCCGGUGGCGCCAGCCAUCGGGGAGCCGCUGUUGAAAUACGGCCCUUUGCUUGUCCGGGUUCUAACCCCGAAGAGGGGGACAGCGCUUGGCGGGUAGUUUGACUGGGGUGGUCGCCUCCAAAAGCGUAACGGAGGCUUCUAAAGGUCCCUUCAGGACGAUUGGUAACCGUCCGCAGAGUGCAAUGGCAGAAGGGGGCUUGACUGGGAGGCCGACAAGCCGAACAGGUUGGAAACAAGAGCAUAGUGAUCCGGCGGUGCCGUGUGGAAGGGCCGUCGCUCAAAGGAUAAAAGGUACUCCGGGGAUAACAGGCUGAUCCCUCCCAAGAGCUCAUAUCGACGGAGGGGUUUGGCACCUCGAUGUCGGCUCGUCACAUCCUGGGGCUGGAGAAGGUCCCAAGGGUUCGGCUGUUCGCCGAUUAAAGUGGCACGCGAGCUGGGUUCAGAACGUCGUGAGACAGUUCGGUCCCUAUCUGUUGCGGGCGUUGGAGAUUUGAGCGGAGCUGGCACUAGUACGAGAGGACCGUGCCGGACCGACCGCUGGUGAACCGGUUGCGCCGCCAGGUGCAUGGCCGGGUAGCCAAGUCGGGUCAGGAUAAGCGCUGAAAGCAUCUAAGCGCGAAGCCGUCCGCGAGAUGAGAUCUCCCUUGAGGGUCGUCAGAGAAGAUGACGUCGAUAGGCGCCAGGCGUAAAGGCAGCAAUGCCAAAACCGAGGCGUACUAAUUGCCCGAAAGACUUUUCAAU
rnacentral:rRNA from 1 species